GGCAGGCCUAACACAUGCAAGUCGAGGGGUAAGGCUCUCUUCGGAGAGUACACGACCGGCGAACGGGUGCGCAACGCGUAUGCAACCUGCCUGUAUCUGGAACAUAGCCCCGAGAAAUCGGGAUUAAUUUUCCAUAAUAUCCUUUAGUGACAUCACUUUUGGAUUAAAGCUCCGGCGGAUACAGAUGGGCAUGCGUGACAUUAGCUUGUUGGUGCGGUAACGGCGCACCAAGGCCAAGAUGUCUAGGGGGUCUGAGAGGAUGAUCCCCCACACUGGUACUGAGACACGGACCAGACUCCUACGGGAGGCAGCAGUGAGGAAUAUUGCGCAAUGGAGGAAACUCUGACGCAGCCAUGCCGCGUGAAGGAUGACGGCCCUAUGGGUUGUAAACUUCUUUUCUGCUUCAAGAAACAGUCGUACGUGUACGGCUUUGACGGUAGAGCAGGAAUAAGCAUCGGCUAACUCCGUGCCAGCAGCCGCGGUAAUACGUAAGUGGCGAGCGUUAUCCGGAUUUACUGGGCAUAAAGCGUUCGUAGGCGGCGUAGUAAGUUGGAUUUGAAAGACCGGGGCUCAACUCCGGAACCGGAUCCAAAACUACUAUGCUAGAGCGUAUCAGAGGGCAGUGGAAUUCCCGGUGUAGCGGUAAUAUGCGUAGAUAUCGGGAGGAACACCAGUGGCGAAGGCGACUGCCUGGGGUACUGCUGACGCUGAGGAACGAAAGCUAGGGGAGCGAACGGGAUUAGAUACCCCGGUAGUCCUAGCCGUAAACGUUGGGCACUAGGUGUCGGGAGCUUCGACCCUCUCGGUGCCGCCGCUAACGCAUUAAGUGCCCCGCCUGGGAAGUACGGCCGCAAGGUUAAAACUCAAAGGAAUUGACGGGUCCCCGCACAAGCAGUGGAGCAUGUGGUUUAAUUCGAUGCUACGCGAAGAACCUUACCCGGACUUGACAUCCCAUGGAAAGCCUGGUUAACCCCGGGCCCCCUUCGGGCCGUGGUGACAGGUGGUGCAUGGCUGUCGUCAGCUCGUGCCGUGAGGUGUUGGAUUAAGUUCCGCAACAAGCGCAACCCUCGUCGUUAGUUGCCAUCAUUAAGUUGGGCACUCUAGCGAGACUGCCAUCGUCAAGAUGGAGGAAGGUGGGGAUGACGUCAAGUCAUCAUGCCCCUUACGUCCGGGGCUACACACGUGCUACAAUGGCUGGUACAACGGGCAGCGACAUUGUGAAAUGAAGCGAAUCCCUUAAAGCCAGUCCCAGUCCGGAUUGGAGGCUGCAACUCGCCCCCAUGAAGUUGGAAUUGCUAGUAAACGUGGAUCAGCAUGCCACGUUGAAUACGUACCCGGGGAUUGUACACACCGCCCGUCACACCAUGGAAGUUGGUACACCCGAAGUCCGUGAGCUAACCUAGUGAGGCAG
rnacentral:rRNA from 1 species